GGGUACGGGGUGGUGGGGGCUUGAUGUUCCACCUUUUGCUUGCCUGUUCACCCGUCACCAGUCAUGUUUCAUUACCAGGCCUCAGUCCUCCACCUGUCGGCCUGUCUGUCUCUCUGUGCGGCCCUGAACGUGGACGUCCUGCAAGGUUAACGUGGACGUGCAUGCUCGGAUGUAGCACGGAGCUCAAGGGUUAAAGCGAGCGUCAGUUUGAUUCGUUCAGAGGGAAGCUUUGUGCAAAUGGUGUUAAUGUGGCUUUUCCAGGACAUGACCAAGUAUCUGGACACAGAAACCCACUGGCAUAAUGGACUGGUGAUAAUGAUGCACUCUGAAUGCUUUCCCUGCACCACUCUGGCUCUUCUGCUCUCUUGUAAAUGAUCCAGCGUGAGAUGGAGAGAGUGAGGAUGUGCAUUGGAGGGGAGGAGGGUGCGGCGGGGGAAGGCAUAAUGAAAACGGCCUAAAUGACAGUGGGUUGACAGUGGGAUUGGCUGGUAAAUGACUGCGGAGUGGCUCGCCUGCGGAGAGGGGAUGGAGGAGGCUCCCAGUAGGCCUGAUUAAUUCCACUCUCGGCGGCUGCCAGGGGAGAGCCAGGGUUAGCGGCUGCUCGAAGAGGAGCCUAUUACCAGUACGCCACUGAAACUGAUAUAAUCAGCUACACAGCGACCCGGCCUUCCCCGAGACAAACUUUUCCAGGACUCGCUCCCCAUUCAUUCCACAGGGGGACUUAAAUACGGUGGUGAGGAAGAGAAAAGGGGAGAGGGGGCUGAGGUAAGGGAGGGCGCCGGGUUUGGAAGAGGGGUACAAAGGAUUUUCUUUUUGAAAGAUGGUUAGGGGAGCUUUGUAAGAAAUCCUCACUGCUCUUCUGACUCCACUCUCCCUCGCUCUCACUGUACCUCUGUAUCUCUUUAUCCCUAUCUCUCUCCCUUCUUCUUCCCUCUCUGGCUGAUUUCCUGCAGCUUUGAUAGUGACAGACCCUCCCGUGUGGCAGCAGCUUUAAGUCUGGUCAGAUAUGAAUAUGUCACAGCUCUUAAUCCCAGACGCUUCUCCCGCAGCUUCACAAACCGCAGAAAGUACGGCACUUUUUAUCUGAUGUGUGCUCUACAAUAUGAAGCGUCCUCUCCCGUCGUUCUCCUGAACCCCGCUCCUCCUGUUUUUUAAAGGGUUGACCCAGAAUAUGAAUUGAAUAUAGGAUAGCAUAGCAUUAUCCAAGUGACACGUGUUCAUCUAUCUGCAGCUAGAGCCACAUCUUUCUGUCCAGUGAGGAUUACAGGAUUACCAUGGUUUUUUUUCUUUGGUGUAAAAAUAACAGACUUUCCGAGAUCCCGUCAUGUUACAAUGAAAGUAUCUAAAUUUGUAGUGAAGCAGAGGCUUGCUUACACGUGCCACCAUAUUGAAGACACUGUUGGCUGUCGAUGGCCUUGACGUGAGCGGUUUUCAUUGAAACUACUUUUUGCAGGAAUGGGCGCUUAAUAACUCACUUAUGUAUUUGCAUCGUUUCGUGCCCUGGAAAACAUGUGCAGCAGAAACUUUUACAAACUUACAGUUUUCGAGGUGCGAUAACAAAGCUUUGUUACUUCGCCCAUCAAAGCAUUGAUUUAAUUUUGGCUGUUAUACCCGUCAAGGUUAUUUUAUUUAGAGCACUCCCUGGAACAGGGGCGUUCCCAGGAUUUUUUUUUUAAAGUGGGGUGGCACAAGAACAAAGCAGGGGUGGCCCGUGGGAAAUCAGAAUAUUUAAUCAGAUAUAAAAUUAGUGUAGAAAAUUGACAUGGAUACAUUAUAGGCGUGAUCUCUGGGCUCAUGUGAAGCCCCGUGUCCUUAUUAUGACAUGAAAAAAGGUGCUGCACAAGAGUUAUAUGUAUAUGUUUUGUGUUGGAU